rnacentral:rRNA from 1 species
GGUGGUCUGACUGCUCGGCGGGUUUGUGGUGCAUUUGCAGGUGGAGUGCGCCGAGGCGCUCGGCGCAGCGGCAUGAGCUUGGCUUUGAGGCCAGCCCGCAAGGUGUCUGGAACCCGGGCCAGGGGAGUGCUGUUUGUGCUGGGUGUACAAGAGGGCAAUGGUCUCGGGCUCGUGUGGGUGCCGAGCUGGCGGUCGGCGGCGGUCGCAUGCGACACGUGCCAGCUGUUAGUUCGGUCCUGCUCGAGCUCACAUCUGCUCGUCCUCGGUGUAAAAGCCGGUCAUCUGUCCGACCCGUCUUGAAACACGGACCAAGGAGUUUAGCGUGUGCGCGAGUCAUUGGGCGUUGAAAACCCAAAGGCGUAAUGAAAGUGAAUGGAUCCCUUGCGGACCUGAUGUGUGAUCCUGGACACUGCGGUGUGCUGGGCGCAACAUAGUCCCGUCCCGAUUGCUUGCAAUGGGGCGGAGACAGAGCGUACGCGCUGAGACCCGAAAGAUGGUGAACUAUUCCUGAGCAGGAUGAAGCCAGAGGAAACUCUGGUGGAAGUCCGAAGCGAUUCUGACGUGCAAAUCGAUCGUCUGACUUGGGUAUA